rfam:Galdieria sulphuraria unplaced genomic scaffold scaf_35, whole genome shotgun sequence.
GCCUUUGUGGCUCAGUGGUAGAGCAUCCCCUUGGUAAGGGGAAGGUCGCGAGUUCAAUUCUCGCCAUUGGCU